AAUAUUGGCUCAAUUCUACUGCAGAGAAGUAAUAAUAUACUCCUAAUAGUAAUAAUAGUUUUUCUAAGGUGCUUUUGUGGACGCAAGGUGGACGUUUUGUGUAGUUUAUGGUGAAAUUCAACGUAAAUUGCCAGCUUGUCAAAGCAACCCCUGCUGGCUUAGAGCUGUAGCGCAGUCAGCUUGUUGCCAGAGCAACCAAAACAUUCCUGGCACAACUUAAAUCGUUG